ACCUUUGUAGUCUAAAAUUAAGAUAAAGCGUUGAAGGUGCUGUGAUAGAAGUAUUCUCGUAGGUG
rnacentral:tRNA from 1 species